AGUCUUCAGGGCAGGGUGAAAUUCCCGACCGGCGGUGAUAGUCCGCGAGCGCAAGCUGAAAAGGUGUAAUUCCUUUACCGAUAGUAGAGUCUAGAUGGAAGAAAG
rnacentral:ncRNA from 1 species